rnacentral:rRNA from 1 species
AUGAGGGAUGAGCCCAUGGACGAAGAGAUCGUGCGCUGGGCCUGCGGCGGCGAUGAGCGCGUGGAGGAGCUCCGCCUCGACUGCAAAGAUGGCGCCUGGCCGCCAUUCACGUCGUGUGCCUUGUUCCUGGAGUUGUGCUCGCUGCCGCUGGACUCGCUGCCGUUCGUGGCACUGCGAAUCCUCGAUCUCAGGGGCUGCAUACUCGAGCCCCUCAACUCCUUGUCCAGAUUGGAUCCACCCCGGGGCGUCGCGUUCCCAUGUCUGGAGGCGCUGCGGCUGCGGCUGUGCAUCAUGAAACUCGGCACGCUCCAGGACAUGGUCCACGCCGCGCCUAAGCUCGCCGACCUGCGGCUCGAGUCGCUGAGGUUCCUGGACCGGUCGCCUUCGGGUUCACCCGCCACCCGGUGGCUCCCUCUCCGAUGCCCGGCGGCCAGCGUGGUCGCCGUGACCAACAUGGCCACCCGUGACACCGAUGCGUGCAGCCUCGAGCUCGACGCGCCGUGCCUGCGCCGCUUCCGCUACACCCAGAUCGUGCCGUUCGACGCCUCAGUCUCCUUCAAGUCGCCCUCGCCCGGCCUGGAACGUGUCCACCUGGAGGCCCACUCUGCCGCGUCUCUGCGCUCGGUCCACUUUUGCGGCGGCGUGUGCCACGCUAGGUCCCUCAAGCUGACGGUCUACUCCAUCGCCGACAUCGACGGCGUCCACUUGCCAAUGUUCCCCAACCUGGAGCACCUCGGAAUAGAAGAGCUGUGCGGUUGGUGUCUCGACAGCCACGGGGCUGCGGCCAACGCAAUUCUGAACCUGCUACGUUCCUCCCCGGUGAUCUCCGGCUGA